rnacentral:lncRNA from 1 species
GGAAUUUAUUACCAUUAGAUAUUAGAUCCAUACAAUCAUCUCCAAAUUUCAAAAACACUAUCCGGAGAAAUGAUAUUUCUUUUUGGUACCUAAAUAUUAUUUCAUUGGAAACAGGAUAGAAAAUAUACUACAUACAAAAUUACGACACAGAUGUAGUCCUUUAAAAGCUGAUUUAUACAGAGUUAAUUUAGUAAAUGACCCC